GUGACCGUAGCUCAGUUGGUUAGAGCACCGGGCUGUGGCCCCGGGGAUCGUGGGUUCAAAUCCCACCGGUCACCCCA
rnacentral:tRNA from 1 species